GGUAGCGUGGCCGAGCGGUCUAAGGCGCUGGUUUAAGGCACGAGUCUCUCCGGAGGCGUGGGUUUCCCACCGCUGCCA
rnacentral:tRNA from 1 species